AGCCACCGCCACAGCUCUCGCUCGCUCGCCGCCCUCACAUUUUACGCGCGCAAACUUCGCCGCGAACUUCAAAGUCAGUUCGUGCUUUCAAAGUCAUCGGGCGUCGGUCAUCGAUUGCUCAGCUAUCGGUUCCGUUGUGAUUUAAUUAAAAUCGUAGCGGGCGCGUUAAUUGACUGCCACUUUGAUCGAGCGCCGAGCGCCGGCGAAAAAUGAUAAUGACCUGUGACACCCGCGGCGACUAACCGCAGGAAGACAACGACGUUGACAGCUACGUCGAUAAAAUAUCGAUUCGCCGCCUCCGCCCAAAGCUUCUUCGUGAUGGUCGGCGGGCGACACAUUUGAAUCCUGCCGCUACGUAAUCCGGCUGUAAAGUGUGUCUUGAUUAUAGCCGGCUUUUUCGCGCCGCCACCGACGACGACGACCUCCCACCGGGACGUCCAGUCACGGACCGUGCGAUUAAUCAAUUCGAUUUUUUAAUUAAUAAUUUCCCAUACAUAUUUUCCCUCGGCGGCGUUCGCUCAGUCCGUCAUCCGGUGCUUUGCGUCGUAAAUGUCCGGCCGCGUAUGAAAUAAUAGUGACGAGGCUGCGCCGCCUCGCCGCCGCUCUGCGUGCGCUUUGAACAAACGAGAGUGCGUUUUUUUGCCCGCUGCUCCUGCCGUCGAUAUCAAAACGUCGCGACGGGGACGGCGUUAAUUACCAGCGGGGACGAAAGCAAGCAGCUUUUUCCGUCAACACACAUACUCACACAUACACGCACACGACCACCCCGCUAUAGGUGUGUGGUACGUUGGCACAUAUAUCAACCGACAUCUAUUCUAAUUAAUCAUCCAAUCGGUUGUCAAUAAUUAAAAACCAAUCGAUCUACGGAAUACCGGAGUUCCGGACUCGAGUUGUACGUCUCUUCGGUUUAAUUUUUUUUCCCACGCGUGUUGCGCACGUGUGUUACAAAUUUUCAUUUAAACCCAACUUAUGAGAACUUCAAACCAGCAGAAAAAAAGAACACAAACGUGAGUGGCGCAUAACGCAUACGUACUUUAAUUCCGAGCGGUAAAUAACAAUUUGAAACUUUUUGCAAACUUUUCACAUACGAACAGUUUAAAAGUGAUUUGUUUAAAUUAAUUACACGCGACUUAAAUGGACCUAAAAACGCGCUAGAUUUGGACAAACAGAUAAAUCAACCGAUUAAAAGAAGAACAACACCAAUCGACACGUUACAGUGAAGGCAACGAUGGCGAACUUCAUUCCCAUCUUCAUUUUAAUUAUUGGCAUUGUGGUGCAGGCCGGCGACGGCGUCAAAAUCAACAAGCUGAAAGUGCCCAAGCUAAUAAAACACGGCUCGCCGUCGGUCAUCUUGGACUGCGACUUCACGCUGGAGGACAGCGACGAGGAGCCGGUGGUCAAGUGGUUCUUCAAUAACGAUCGCACGCUGGUCUACCAGUGGAUACCGGGAAAACGUCCACAAGACUCCGGUAUCCUGAAAGGACGCCUCAAACUGGAGUACAAGGCAAGCGAGGACCCCAACUGUCUGCACCGUGCGCUCUAUAUUCUGCAGCCGGGGCCCGAUCUCUCCGGCAACUACACGUGCCUGGUGUCGACCUUCCAGAGCGAGGAAAUCAGGACCAAGAGUAUGCUCGUCUACGUGCCCGGCAAGAACCUUGCGCUGAAGGUGCUCUACUCGAACAUGGAGUUCACGAAGGUCGAGUGCCGCGCGGAGGGCGCAUUCCCCCGGCCGGAACUCGUGCUGCGCCUCCCCGAAUACGGGGAGAUCAACGACACGCAGAUCGACAUCAAGCAGCAGGGCCUGCUUUACGACGUCACCGCCACUGCCACUAUUCCGACGCCGCCUCAUCCGACGGACGUCAGCUGCGUGCUGAAUAUUCCCGGCGCGAACUACACCAUGACGCAGGAGACCGUCAUCUUCCCAGAUUGUCCCAACAAAAAAAACCUUUGUUUUACAGCAUGUAGGCUGGUCUAAUAACAAUAAUGCUUUUGAUGGUUAACUUUUGUAAUCAAACGUUCGUUUAAUUCUCCAGUGAAAAAGCAAAUAAUGUGCCAAAAGAAAUUUUUGCGGAAAUUUCUCACAUUGCAAAAAAUCAAGUUUUUAUCCGAUCUUUCCAAUUAUCUCUUGGUUUUUCUGGCCAGCUUCACGCGAUAAUUAAAACUUUGGUACUUUUACAUUAAAAUCCUCCAAUUGCAUCUCUACCGACAGUAAUUUCUUUGUUUACAUUUAUUGUUGUAUGAAUACAGACUUGUCUCUUGUAAAUAAUUGUGAGUAUGAUGUAAAAAAGUUAAGCGUUGCAGGGUUAACAACGUAAUGUCAGAAAUUAGCCUGAAAUCGAGAGUAGAAAAUAGCCCAUAUUACUCGGGGAUGUACUGUUGCGCACCGGCGCACACAUAACGCGCGUCGUAGUUUCUUCGGCAAUUUUAACUCUUUGCUGCUAUAACAAUAUAGUAAAUAUGGCAGAAAAUUUGACGAAAUUUUCGCUCAGUGUUCUCGACACAAUAAAGCGCGCGCGAAUGUGCACUUUACCAAAUGGUCGUCUUGUUCUUGUUGUUAUAACGAAUAGCAGACCCGGCCGUUUGUACGACAUUCAUACACGCGCCUUUGCACACACAACAUCCACGCACACAAAUACAUACACAUCGACCGCCUCCACACGCGCAGCAUUCACUUACCGCCGCGAGCGCGCACACGUACACGCGGCCGAAUUGAAGAAAGUCAGACGUUCCGAAUGGAACACGUCGCAUUAAACUUAAAUCGCUUUCCAGCAUUUUCGCGCACAAUUUCCCGCGCUUCGCAAAGUUUCGCUUUUGAAGGGCUUAAGUGCAUCGAAAUCACACGUGAAGCUUCCUACGCCACAGCCACUUAAACGCGUGUGAAGAAAAUUUUCGCGCGGCGCCGCAUCAUUGUUUGUCAGACACCUCCUUAAUCGGAUCGCACGAGUCAGCGGCGGUGGAAUGCACGCCGGCGGGCGCAAUUAUUUGCCAAGAAUGUGCGCUUCCGAACAAAAAAAAACAGUAAUUUAUUUCAGGCGCGGUCGACUCAAAUAUCAAUUUCCAUGAACGAGCCGCGAACCAACGCCGCUCGUUUUUUGUUUUAUUUUUCAAACUCGAAAGAGACUUAUUGCUGUUUAGUGACGGCUUUACAAAUAACAAACAUUACGUAAUACAACGAAACAAGCAAACUACAAAUGCGAGCCGAGGCGCGGUCGUAGGGGGCGACCGCAGAAAAAUACCAGCACAAGCGGGAAAAGGGACGGAAGGCGGUGGCAGCAACGCGCCGCAAAAAAUACACCCGAACGGGCAAAUAACUAAAUUUGGUGGCGCGUUUUUUCCUUGCUUCUCUUUCAUUUAGCCUCAUUCCACACUCAUUGCUUGGUGUUUCGUUCACGACAAGUACAUUACUCAAAGUUCUUUUCCAAACUUUUCCACUCCGCUUCGUAUUUACGACGCGCGCACGUAAGACAAAGACGCGCGCCGGCGAAGACUUAAAAGUCGAUGAUUCUUUUCGUGCGGACUGCGCCUCGGCCAACGUCAUUUAGCGAUUAUUUGCUUUUUUUGUGUUCCACGCCGUUUCGCGCUGUGCUGUGCUGCACUGGGUGGGCGGUUGGCAUCUCGCUUUUUUUUUUCCGCCGAAGCAUGCACUCAAAACGCGACUACUUCAUGCGCUUAAUCUUGACUUAUCGUUAUGAUACGCUCCGCAACAUAAGUAUAACUACUCAACGACUCGCCGAACUAUACACACACCAGAUGCUUGCUGCCCGGCGCCUCCACUCGACGGCUCUCAGCGUAAUCUACCGCAAUGGUUAUAAACUAUAAAAGCCCAUCUCGAAUUGCAUAUUUAUAAAGAGUAUCGUUAGGGCGGAAGUCUGCGCGUCUGCCCCAAAAAAGCCCGCGACGACGUAUCAAGGGUGUAUCAAGAGUUUUAAAAAUUUACAUUUUUGGGCGACGCGCGCGAAAUAACGAGGAAAAAGUCGAAACCUUUUAGCGACAAUUUUCCAGCGGCGCGCGCGAAAUGAGGGACGGGUGCGGGGAGCUGCGAUGGGUGGGGUGUUCGAGCGUUAAAAGUUUAAAUACGUUCCGUACGUGCGUGCUCAACUUUUCUUUUACUUUGCCAUCCAAAUACGUUCGCUACGUGUUUCGAUAUGUUUGUGCGUUGUCGUUCUUUAAGCGAACGUGAGUAUUAACGGUAGAUUGUAUAUACGAAGUUGUUUUUGUGCCGCCGCCGCCACCACAGCCAUUACCAAAACCGCUCACGGGCAUCCUCCUUUGAAGAGUCUUCGCAAUUUUGGGGCGCUGGGUUUGAACUUAUUAAAAAUUAUUUGUUUUUCGUGUUUUAUCAGCGCACAUUUAUUGAAAUUCGAUGAAGCAACACACGACGUAGUCGAGCAAAUUCGAAGGGCUUCGUACGUCAUUCGGGCGCGAUUCGCACUUUCUCUCGCGUCGCUUGAUCGCAUCGCCAGCGUUUAGUUACGAGCGCGUAAAAUUUAAUGAAAAAUAAAGUCUAGAGUCUAGUUUGCGUCUAGUUUGUAAAAAUGCAGACCUCGCUACCGGGGGCGCGCAUCGCCAUCCAUGCCUGCCGCAGCUACUGAUAGCCGAUGUAAAAUUUUAGAAUUUAAUAAACGAAAAGUCAAUGCAGUUCGCGCGCAUUUCGCGCGCUCGGCUUGGCAGCUAUGUCGCGCGUUACUGCCGCGAUACUUUCGCAGCACCCGCCCCAGCGCAUGUAGUUCAACGGUGCGCGAACGUGCUAAAGAUUUUGGCUCCGCCGCCAGACAGACGAUGAAGCAUGGCAGAAGCGUUUUAAAGAUAAUGAAAAUAAAACCACCUCGAAGCGCCGAGCCGGCCCCGCAGCCAGCCAGCGCGCUACUUUAUAUAAAAUGUUCUUACAAUAUAUUACUGCUUAUCUUUAUGGUGACCGAAAGAAUGGAUUUUGUUUUAUGCCGCCAGCAGCCAGCGACGCGACCAUAUUUAACCGUAUUCCGAGCGCGCCGAGCCGAAAUUUACGUAUUCGCGAGCAUUUAAUUCCAACAUACGCCGUCUGAGGAAUAUUAUUUAGGGCGGUUUUGGCACGUUAUUUAUCGGCCCGCGGUCGGGCAGGUGGCGCCCAGAUUCCGCGCGUAAUCUGCGCGCAUCAUCGAAAUUUCUAAUCGUCCCACUCCAUCCAGCCGCUUUACCUUUUUCGCCCGUCGUAACACACACACGCUGCAUACGAAAUUUUGAUUCAUAUUUAUACGCGUUUUCUCGCGCGCACGUGCUUACCGACGUAAUUAACCGAAGAGUUACAAUGAAUAUCUGAGGACGAUUUUCGCAUCGUCACUGUGGUCGUUGCGGUGUUGUGUUCAGAAAGUGUCGCCUAACAUUUUCUUGCAUUCUUGCUUCAUUAAACUGAAGCAUCCAACAUGAGCCUUGCUCAACCCGACGCCGACUGACCCACUUAAGUUAAAACCGAUGAGGGUUAUUGGCAAAGUAAACGAGAAGAGGGCACUGCAGGACGCCGAGGAUAAUGAGACGAUUUUUCCAAGAAGAAACAUCCAAGACGUAUUUUUUGCAAAUAUUUUAUUUUUGUCUUUAUAAGCAAUCAUGCAUGCGAACCGACAAGGAAGACAAUUUUAUUUCUUGAAAUAUUCGUUUUCCUUAAUUUAUGCGGUUAUUUAUGCCUGAAAUUUGUUUUAUUCCAAUUCUAAACGACACUGACAAUAUGAGCGCGGGAGCUCAAAGGGACCGAGAUCGAUACACUCGUGCGGCGUGCUGCUGCACGUGAUCAUCUGCACAUUCAUGUGGCGAUUUCCGGCCGCCUUCGUGGGUUAGAUAAACCGUUGGUGGUGUCGCUGCUACUGCUGCUACUGCUGCUACCCCGGCGACGCGUCGGCGGACGCGGAUUCGCGAAUUGUUUACGCGCAAUGCGAUUGCAUUUCGCAUUUCGGCAUCAGCUCGACGCAUUUCACGUUACGUUACGUUAUAUUACGACCAAAAAAUGCACACACUAAAAAAUAAAAACCUGCAGCGCUGUUUUGUUGGUUUUGCGUAUCGACGAUUAACCAGGAGGUGGAGGCGACGGCAAUGCAGAAGGACAGUGUGUGAUGUGUGAAUGGCGCGGCGUCUACAGCGUUGCGAAUUUUAGCAGAUGGGCAGUCCUGUCCAUCCUGCUGAUUAUGGAAUGGACGGGAUGGACGGAUGGGAAGGUGCGGCAUGGAUUAGCGGAUUAAGAGAGAUUGAAGCGCAUGGCACUAGUAGCGAUAUGUUUCCGAUGGGAUUGUGAGUCCAAUCCAAUGGGUACGUGUAUGUUUCCCCCUAGCCUUUCAUUCACUCACCGCGCACCGGCGGGAGCAUUUUCAUGGAAGCGUUUCGAUAAUAUUCAUAUUUAUACAAAAAAAUACAACAACACUACGCAACACGAUCACGAAAUCAAGAAAUAGUAUAUUAUUCGGUAUAAGCAUAAUUAUUAUGCUCGGAUGGAGUAAGUACUAUACUUUAUCCUCGACUUGUGCAUACACUGCAAGGUGAUUGAUUGAUACAUUAUUACUCUAGGUUAUAAUGUAUGACAGAACAUCUGUUCAAUCAAUGAUGAAGUACCUAUGUGGUGCACCGAUCCGGGAUAAAAUAUAUUGUACCUAUCUAUUACAUAGCUUCUAAAUUACGAUUACGAAACGGAAUCACAACAUAAAAAUUUGACACUAAAUCAACCCCUGAAGCGGCGAGUAAACAAAAAGUACUAGGAGUAAUCGAAUUUGUACAUAGGAAAUAAGACUGCUAAUAAAUACGUGUUGCUAUACAUACCUAAGAAUAAUUAAAGAUGAUAAUAAAUCGUUGAAAAUUUCGAAUGGGAAAAAAAUUGAAAAAUCUUUCAAAAAAAUAUAUAUACAAGAAUAAGCUAUUCGUUUAAUCCUUGCAUCAGACAACUCUUCUCUCUUCAUUCGUCUCGUUCGUUUCACGUAUUUAGUUCGCCUCGUUUUGAUACAUGAAAUGGAUAUAUUAAUAAGGUAAUCGUAUAAAACUAAAUACACAUGUCUCUUUGUUGUAUAAAUGCAAACAAGCAUUGAGCUACGGGGCGAUCCGCAUGCAACGAUAAACUAGAGUAAAGAGUUUCAUUAGAUAUAUCGAGAUAUCAUCGGUUACGUUAAUAACCGGCACUGCUCACACGCGAUCGUGUUUUUCGACUCCUGUUCAUAUUUCUACUCUCCCCACUUGCGAUUCACUGAAAACUAUUCGUACUCGUACAUCUUCAUCAUCACGUAGAGUGCUACUCCUAGGCUAGACUUUUGUUAAGUGCCGCGGACAGAUUAAGAAUAACAUGAAUCGUUUUGUGUUUCAUGAAUAGCGCACCCUUAAUGCAUUAAUUCUUCUUACAAUUCAACUUACAAUUAGUUCCCGCUGAGUAACGCUCUUUGUUUCGCGCGCUCGGCGGGCGCUCGCAUUAUGCGGAAUUAGCAAUGUCAUGGCCGCGGAAGUUCAAGAUUGCAUAAACAGCAGCGCAUCACGCGUAAAAUACACGUAGCUGCAGCAUAUAGUGUGUUAGAUGUGUAAUAAUUCGCGCAUGCACACUGACCCGGCAUAUAUUAAUCAAUGCAAUCAAUUUCGAACGCGCAGCGGAUCCUUCAUCGAUCGCCCCGUAGACGUAUGCCGGCUAUGUAUAUGUGGUCAAUGAAAAAUGGUGGUAAAGCAAAUGAUGUACGUAAACACAACAUAUAAUAGACAAUUAAGUUGAAUGUAUCAAUUACAUAUGCAAACGGAUACGACGGCUAGUUUCGAAAUGCGCGCGAACGGCGCGUCGUGCAGCAAUAAUUGAUUAUGACAAUGAUUGACUAGAUAAUGCAUUACCGAGUAGAUAGGGGAUUAUUGAAAAAUGCACGAUCACGCUCGACCGUCGUAUUGCGAUCCAUUGCGAACACACACAUUACAUUACAUAUAUGAUAUAUAUAUAUUUAUGAAAAAUAAAGUAAAAAAAACUAUUUGUGAUAAAACUUUUAUUCUAUAUGAAUGUUGAAGUAAGGGAAUUUUAAACGAAAAACAAAACAAAAAUGAAAAUCGUAGUUGAACUGUUUUUUUUUAUUAGACGAAAUUUUUUAGUGACUACAAUUCUUCUUUGAGGGGAUAAACACACAGAUAAACACACUAAGGGGGAAAAAGAGACAUAUUCAUUUUAUAAAUAUUAUUAAUAAAUGAGUUGAGUUGCGAGGUCAUCACAGUUUAUGAACGGACAAAUUGAUAUUUAUGUUGUUGACGUACGGUUUUGGUCGUUCUUCUAUUACAAGACUAUAUAAAUUAAAUUUAAUUAAAUACUAUUGAAGACAGAUUAUUAAAUGAAAUGAAAUGGAAUAAAAAUUAAGUAAAACAAUCUUUGAUUAUAGCUUCUAUAUUGUAAACGAAUUUAUGAAAGAAUUUUAUGACUUAUUUUAUUAAUUGAAAAUGAAAUUAAAAUAAAAAUCAAUGUAAAUUUCA